ensembl:lncRNA
GUACAUUGAGGCAAGCAGAUCCGCGCUUCCCACGCCCAGGAGAACAUGCGUUUGUCUCGAACCAUAUCCACUCCCGACAUUGUGAAACAGCGCGUUCGUCUUAGUAUAUCGUGAAGCGCCACGACCGCUACAAUUUCGAUUUUGGUGAAAAAAGUUUUACGACGGCUUGGACGUCUACUUUCCAUUUAGCUGUUUGUGGAGGACGCAUGAUUGACCUGUGCCGGACCAAAAGCGAAGAUUGCAUGAAAGAACUCAAGGCUAUACUCAGCUGCGCCACACUGGGAGGCUUACUGGAUAAGCAGAAGCAUCCCUGUGACUCCAAAAAAGUGCCUCCGCUUCUGUCUUCUCCCAUGAUGGCCCUGGCCUCCUUCCAUCUGAUGCAAACUCUAAAAAACUCUCCAGCGGCUCUGCGUCGGCGAUUCUGUCGCGACCGCACAGAGAGCCUGUCUCACGGCGAUCCCCUCUUCAAAGUGCACUACCUUGGCACCAAGAAGAUCUUCUCCCUGGACUUAGAGCAGGCGGAGGAUGCCAUCGAUCAACUCCUGGAUGGGGCGCCUGGGAAGCUUUCUAAAGAUCAUGCCAUGGUAGUGCGACCGCGAUACGUAGAAGUUAAAGAACUAAGCACUGGAAGACAGCUCACCAAGACCUACUUGCAGGAUAUCGCAUACUGUGCUUCGCACACGGCCAGACCCAAUGUGUUUCUGUAUAUCUGCAGGCAGCCCGGUCAGCAGCUACAAUGCAGAGUGUUCUGGUGCAGUCGGGCAGAAAGGGCAAAGGACAUGACUGCCUGCCUAGCAAUGUCAUUUCAGCAAGCGCUCAACGACUGGCAGGGUGGAUGUGCCACGUUGCCGCAAGGGGAAGGAAUCACUAAAGAGCCAGAGAUUCCUGGAACGCCCGCUGCACCCAAAGGGUCAACAUUGCCAGCUAGUUUGGGAAAAGUCCGUUGGAAAAAGAGGGGGUCGGUGUCCCGCAGUCCUCUCCGUGCCAUUUCCAGAAGAGGUUCUGACAGCGACAACUGGCACUGAUGUUUCCCAUCCCACCCUGAUUAUCGACAACAUUCAUUUUGGGAUGCUUGUGAAUUUCCAGCGUUGAAUGUGAGGAAAAAAACAACCACACCUACAGCUGAUGGAAUUUUUGAGCUUUGAUAAGAGUUUGCAACUCAAGUGCAGAGUCUGUUUCUGAACAGCCACUGCAUUUGACUUUACCAAAGUGAUAAAAAAUAGAUUUCUAGAGAUCAUUGUUUGGUUUAGGAAAUUGAUAGGUUCAGUCACGCUGGUUUAAAUUUCAUCUCAGUUUGCUUAAGGACUAUGAGACAAUACCAAAGCUGCUCAUCUGAGCUGAACUGGUGUCUAGUUUUAAAGCCAUGUAAGUAUCACAGAGUUGAGUUUUUCAAGUCAGUGUACAGUACAUGUCUGGGUAGUUUGCUGAUGUGACUGAUGAGCAGUGAGACAGUUUUUGUUUGUAUUAGAGGUGUCAGAUGAGGAUCUGUGUGGAAAGUGGGUGGAUGCAUGAUAGUAAACAGUAGCAGGACCAGGACAUCAAAGUAAUUGCCUUGGAAAACUGUUUUGGCCAAAACCUCCACAUAUUGUUACUGAUGAUUGAAUUAAUAUUACACCCUCAAUGUGACCAUGUUGUAUUAUUUACUGCAUAUUUGUAUACCAACUUGACAAUCAGCACUGGUUGUAAUUUAGCAUUGGAAAGACAGAGGUACUGAUUCUUGUUUCUGGUUGGUCUAUUAUAGCCAUAUCCUGCUUUGCCUGGUUUUACCUCAGUUUGCCAUUUUUUAAAAUGUUUUUAAUUCAUAAUUUGAGUUGUUCAAGCUUUGAACUUGAAGCAUAGGUUCCAAACAGAUAAAGAGGAACAGAGUUAAUGCUGUUAAUUGCUGUUUUCUCUUAAAAUGAGAAUAUUUUCUCCAAGCACCUGCAUUCCAGCAGUUUUUUUUUUUAGGCUUUUUUUUCUGUAACUGCAAGUUGUUUCACUACAUCAGCCCAUUUUUGUCUAAAAAGAAAAAAGCCAAGUAAGUAACUGUCUCCUGGCAACAGCUUAAGACAUCAGAAUGCUGACUGAUUUAAAGGUAUGCUUGCGUUAACGUCAUGUCCUUGAAAAAAGCAGCAUCUUUGCACUGCAGUUACGUGUAGUUAUAAAUCACAUUUUUAAGUGGCCUAGUUGCAUAAACCAAGUAUCUGAAACAAGGACACCCUGCUUCGCAUGACUGGAACAAUCAAGAUUUCCUAGUAGAAAAGAUUGUCCAGCACCAUAAGUGGCUAUUUUCUUCACACUGUUACAUACACACACUAAGAAUUGCAUCAUAUAUAACAGUAGUAUACAGUCAGUGCCUCAUGGUAUAAGAAAUUCUGCCUGAUGUUACGCCAAUUACAUCAAAAGAUUUUUUUCCCAUUUUAUCCUUAUGGAUUUUAUUUAAAGCCAUAUUAAACCGUAUCUCGUACUACAAUGACCUCAGAUCUGUUGUUGGAUCUGUUCUGUCUGCUUUAUGAGGUGUUUAAUGUUAUAUGAAUGUUCUUGUACUAUUUUCAUGUACGUAUUUAAAUAUUAAAUGUAUUUUAUGGAAUAUUAAACUUUUUAUACAUGAAACAUUUGUGGCCUGUAUUCUUUUAAUUUAUUAAACACCAAGACAUCAAUAACUUUUAAAAAGCCAGUUGUUACUUGAAUUUCAGGACAGAUUGGAUCCUUAAAGAGGGAGCAGCUUCUGUGUAAGUCAUGGGGUGCAAAUCUUUUAAUGCCAGGGAUUAAAAUGCUCCUGGUCUGAUUUCAUAACCUUUCAUUCGUACGUAAUUCUCAAAAACAUGCCAUGGCUGAUAUUUAGACGCUUAAAGUGGCUAAAGCUAUCAUUAUUAAACCUCUUAGUUUAUACAUAAAUUAAUGCUCAUAUAUAUAUAUAUAUAAACAUGUUAGUUUAUGGUUCAAAUUUUUACAGUUCUAGAUUUUAAUGUUUGGAGUUUUAGCCCAAAUGGUAAAAGCAGUGAUCCUUUGGAGUUUAAUACUCUUGGAUGUUGUUGUCCAUAUUCAUUUGGUGGGUAAAUGACUUUGAGUCCUGUCGCUACCCUGAAACCUUUGGACCUCAGAAAGGUUUUGGAAAUGAAGUCUUCUCAGCGGCUUCAACUCUUCCUAAAACACAAAGUAAGGGAAACAGUGUGUUAGAGGAUGAUGGUAAACUCUAACCUAAGGCCAAAACCAGUAACCACUGCGGCUCUAGACAGAAAAAUUCGGUACAGUGAAAUGAAUAUAUGCAACAGACACAGGAUAUAGGAUUAAGGCCUAAGAAUUUGCUGUUUAGAUUUUUGUAUUGUUUUUCUUACUCAUACCCCUUAUCGUAUCAGCACAAUGACUAAGAACAUUCAAAAUAUUUGGAUCCUAGAUUUCCCAGACUCUGUGCUCACCCAGAUCAUAGAACAGCUCCUCUCGGAUUCCCUGAACCACAAUCAUCUCCAGGAAAUUCAGGAGGGCCCCAGUGACCAGGAAGCGCUCUGGGAGGGACAGGGUUUGGAGGUAGCGCAUGUCCAAAGAGAAGGGGUUGUCUGGAGGCGGCAUGGUGCACAGUCCCACCACCUCACUCAUUAUGUCCCACACAUGAGUUUCUACAGGGCAGAUAAAAGGUGAGUGUGUUAUGUAAGACCCUUGUAAAAUCAAAAGUACGUUAAAAAAAGUACAGCUAAAUAUUUGGUAAAGGUAAGAUCUUUGAUCACUGUCCUUCUGGUGUGAUAAGGGGUUGAUAUGCAUUAUGGUAACACAAAAAUACAUGGAUGUACAACCACCAAAAGCCACUAAAAUAAGUUGUAUGUUUAUUUAUAUAUAAUCUUUAACCUUAAAAAAAAGACAGUAAAACUUUGAUUCAGGAACAUAAAGAAAGUGUUUUUAAUAAAAUUUUGAAAAUAUGGCCA